rnacentral:lncRNA from 1 species
UGAAUGGUAGCCCGCCUACUUAGCUUGAGUGUUUCAAGGACUCCUCCUGGUCAAGAGCUGGGUUUCCCUAUUCAUUUCAUUUAAACAAGCUCCCAAGAAGGCAACAGGGACCCACUGUACCCCAAGAGGCACUCCAAGUUUCCUUCAGAGAGGAAAAAGAGAGACGGGGCUCCUAGAACCCACUCUCCCCAAAGGCGAGUUUCCCAGGCGCCGCUCGUGCUGUUGCUGGAAAGCGAGCUCGCUGUAGACCGGCCGCGACACCAUGUAGCUGCAGCUGUACUCGGGGAGCUGCGGCGGCUCCGACCUGCCGCCUGGCGCUGCCAUGACCUGCGAGCCAGAGGACAGCGAGGAGGGAGGACACGCGGGAAGGAAUAAACUGGACUACAUGGAAAUCAAGACUAGAAGAGAGGGAGGAGGAGCUGGAGCUAUCCUACCUCAUCAGUGUUUUGUCUUCUGUUGGGAUGAACUUUGUUAAAACUAAUGCAUGGUUAAGAUGAAAGGCAGAAGGAAGGGUUUGAUAAACCAGAACAUUCUCGCCUGAUUGUUAGUGUUCUGAAGUAAAUACAGAAGAGGCUCCAAAAUACAGACCUCUGUACAUCAACCUUCCGUAAUCCACCUGCCUUGCAUAUGCAGACCAUGACAAUUCUACGAGCUCCUGGAAACAGAACUCAGAACUCCUCCCCAGAGAACCCUGAUGCAAAUUCUCUGAAAUGGUAGUCAGCAUGUGCGUUUUCCUGAGAAGUGAAUGAGUCAACAGCUUUCAACAGAUCUUCAAAGGCUUACUUCACCCAAUGAAGUUAAGAACCACUAAAGAAGAAACCUAAAAGGAAAAUCCAGACAUGAUCUCAUUCUGUUGCCCAGGGUGAGUGCAGUGGCACCUUCAUGGCUCAUUGCAGUCUCGAUCUCCCAGGCUCAAGCGAUCCUCCCACCUCAGCCUCCCAAAGUGCUGGGAUUGCAGGCGUGAGCCACCUUGCCCAGCCCAUUCUGCAAUCUUCGGAAGGAAGUCACUAUAUGCAGCCUAUGCUUGAGGAGUGGGGAGUUGAAUUCCACAUCCU